CAGCCGCCACGGGAAUACCGAGGAUGCAAGCGUUAUCCGGAAUGAUUGGGCGUAAAGCGUCUGUAGGUGGCUUUUCAAGUCCGCCGUCAAAUCCCAGGGCUCAACCCUGGACAGGCGGUGGAAACUACCAAGCUGGAGUACGGUAGGGGCAGAGGGAAUUUCCAGUGGAGCGGUGAAAUGCGUUGAGAUCGAAAAGAACACCAACAGCGAAAGCACUCUGCUGGGACGACACUGACACUAAGAGACGAAAGCUAGGGGAGCAAAUGGGAUUAGAUACCCGCGUAGUCCCUGUCUCUUAUAC
rnacentral:rRNA from 1 species